rnacentral:lncRNA from 1 species
GGGGUGAACACCGGCCUGAUCCUGACUCUUCCUGGCCAGGAGCCUUUGUCCAGAGACUGCCCAGGAAGUCUGUGCCCACUCUCUCACGUGUGGGGCAGGUGGCCCCACACAGCCAGUGGGUGCCCCAAGACUUUGCUUCUGCACCUCGCACCAGCAGCCAGCUCCCCUUGUCCGCCUGAGCAGGGGAGCCCCCUCCCGCUGGCACCUGGGUGAUCCUGUUAUCGCCGGCCAUCAGCCAGAGCCCAGCUGGGGACAGGAGGUGGGGGCGGGGCAGUGACUGUGAACAGGGGUGGCCCUCCCCCAUUCCUCCGGGCCUCACCUGGGCACAGCAGGAGAACCUGACUCUCCCACGGACCCCUCCCAGCCGGCUGAGACAGGUCAGCUGUCCCCUGCGUUCCGGCUGCCACCGCGCCUGAGCCGGAGGAAGACAGGCAGCUCGGAUUCCCGGGUCGGGGCAGUUAGAGGUCGGGGUGGGGACAGCGCUGGCCGCUGCCUGAAAGCCGCCCCUGUGCUCCCUGGCCCACGGAGAGCCUGAGCCGCCGUCCCUGGCUGCGCCCUGCCCUGGGCCUGCCUCCCCCUGUCCCCUCGGCCCCAGCCCCGACGUGGCAGCCUCCUUUGGGCGCAGAACAAGCAGAUCCCCAGAGCUGGUGUGGAGCGCGCGGGGCGCGGGCAGCGGCCAGGUGCUUGCUUGCACGCUGUGCACGCAGGCGUGCAUCGUGUGCGUGUGCACACGCGUGUGCCCGCGCGUGCGUGUGAGCGGGCGCGCGGGGCGGGGGCGUUGCGGGCGCCGCUGAUCAACAGCCGGGAGCGGGGCGGCUGCUGGCAGGCGCGCAAGAAGCUGUCCCCGGCCGCCAGCCGCUGUCGCAGCCCGGGAGGGAGGGAGGGCGGCGGGCGGGGGAGGGCGAGCGUUCGCUUCAGCCCUUAAUCACGGAAUUUGAAAUCCCAGCGAGUCGGUGCCAUUUAUUUUCCGGGGCUGUCAAGGCUGGUUUCAGCGUUUAAAAGGAAGGAGGAUGAACAGCAUUUGCGUCUCCCUUCCGCGGCCGCCCGUCGCCCGUCCCGUCGCCCCCUCGCUCCGCUGGGCCCAGGCGGCGUGGGGGAGGCGGCCGAGGGCUGGAGGCCGGGCCCCAGGCGAGGGCGUCGGGGCGCUUCUGGGGCGGGGACCAAUGUGGCCUAAGCGGCUCUGGUGGCAGAGGGACGGGCUGGCUGCUGGGGGAGGCCUGGGGCUCCCAGACUUUACCCCAGGAAGCGGCCCUGGACCCAAAGCUGCCCCAGCCCCAGGAGACCCACAUCAACGCCCCCAAGCCUAGAAUGCUGGGCCCCGAGGGCAGAAAGGGCACCCCCCGGGGACAAACGCUCUCUGGGCACACAGGGAAACUGAGGCCCGGUCACUGGCCAAGGUCACAUAGCAGCAGGACCAGGAUAAGAGGGGCAGCCUGGCACCUGGGCUGGGUAAGGGACCUCUGCCACCAGGCACCGACCUGCGUCUCAGGCACAGUGACCUUGCCCACUGUCCCGUCUUGUCUUCCCACUGGGAUCCAGCCUGUGCCCUGCGGGGCACACCUGCUUUCCUCACCUGCUGUCCCCCUUGCUCCUGGGGACGACUAGGGUGGCUACAGGAUCUCUCCCUGAAGUCUGCAGUUGAGGCUGGACCCCAGGGCCCUCUCUCAGAUUCGGUUUCCUCUGUGGAAUGAGAACUGGAACUACCAGCCAGGCCUGACAGGGACGUCCCGCAGGUGCAGUCCUGGUGGAGAGGCCCGCGCACGAGGGGCUCCCCGGCUGUUGCGAUUGUUUUGUCAUUUUGUCAUUGUGACCGUGUGCCCACCCCUUCCAUUCCACAGAUUCCGGGCGUCUCCAGAACCUUGCCCAGACCAUCUCAGAAUGCCUCCUGGCCCCGACUCAGCACAGUCACACUGGAACACCCAGGUGGGGCCUUGUGCUGGCGAAGACGGAAAGGCAAAUAUUGGGAGAGGAAAAAAGAACCCCUGGCCCUGUUGACAACACUUCCUACUUGUGCCUGAAGUGUGGCUGAUAUUUUCUGUCCUUACAGAUGCUUAUAAAAACUUCUGUUAAAGUCAACUAAUACUAUGUGUCCAGUUUGGCAAU